UACAAUCUGCCUCUCUCUUCCCCCAAAAUUCCCCCCAAAGCAAAUAUAGUCUUCAAUUCCACAUCUUUGAAGGGGGCGCCAUCUCAACUCUUCUAAUCGGGCUUGUUCCUUUGUUUCUUGAUAUAAAGAAAGAUCUCAGAUAGAGUUGGAAGAGGAGGAAGGAUUGUGAGAUACCCAGAAAGAAAAAGAUUUCAUUUUCCGAAGCAUAUUUGAAAGAAUGGCUUCAAGACCCGUGGUUCAACAUCAAAAUAGAGGAGCCGCAGAUUUCUAAGGUUUCUUUGCCCACCAGAUUCUGUUAGCUCAGAUUUUAGGUUGGGCGUCUUGAAUAAAGGUUUCAUCGUAUAAGAGAAUGAUAAAACUUACCCAGAAUCUAUGUGGCAUGGACUCUGCUGAAGUAGUUGAAGCUGAAGACCUCGAUGCCCCUUCGUCGGGCACGGGAACCAAAAAAUAGGAUCAUCAGCCCAUGUAGCUUCAGAUGAAAGCCGUAGCGCCAGUGCU